rnacentral:rRNA from 1 species
GACGGGGGAUGCAAGUGUUAUCCGGAAUCACUGGGCGUAAAGCGUCUGCAGGUGGUUUCCUAAGUCCACUGUUAAACCUUGAGGCUCAACCUCAAAUCUGCAUUGGAAACUAGGAGACUUGAGUAUAGUAGGGGUAGAGGGAAUUUCCAGUGGGGCGGUGAAAUGCGUAGAUAUUGGAAAGAACACCGAUGGCGAAGGCACUCUACUGGGCUAUUACUGACACUCAGAGACGAAAGCUAGGGGAGCAAAUGGG